AGAGUUUGAUCCUGGCUCAGGAUGAACGCUGGCGGCGUGCUUAACACAUGCAAGUCGAACGAAGAUGCCGGAGUGCUUGCACUUUGGCAGACUGAGUGGCGGACGGGUGAGUAACGCGUGGGUAACCUGCCUUAUACAGGGGGAUAACAGUUGGAAACGACUGCUAAUACCGCAUAAGCGCACGGUAUCGCAUGAUACAGUGUGAAAAACUCCGGUGGUAUAAGAUGGACCCGCGUCUGAUUAGCUUGUUGGUGAGGUAACGGCCACCAAGGCGACGAUCAGUAGCCGGCCUGAGAGGGUGAACGGCCACAUUGGGGACUGGAGACACGGCCCAAACGUCCUACGGGAGGCA
rnacentral:rRNA from 1 species